rnacentral:lncRNA from 1 species
GAGCUGCCAUGUACUAGGCCACGUGGCAAGGGCCUGGUUGGGGACCUCCAGGGGUUGAGAGCAUCCUCUGGACAACAUGGAAAAAGAAAAUGAAAAUGGUGACCUCAGCCCUAUAGCUAGAAGGAAUUGAAUCCUGUCAACAACGAUACUCAUCACUCACUGCAGAUGUUACUUUAAGACAUUCUGGAGCAGCGUCAUGUGCAGGUGCGUAGUGCCUCCGCCCAUCUCUCUCUUGCUCCUGGUCUCAUCGUGACGGGCCUGGUCCUGCCUCACUUUAUGCCACGACUAAGAGCUCCCUGAGGCCUCUCCAGAAGCAGAUAUCACUAUGCUUCCUACACAGCCUGCAGAACCGAACAAUAAGGAAGUGAGUGCUUUUGUAAUUCCUGAACAACUGUGUCUUACACUUACUAAGGGAUUCAUGGGCAAUAUGACUGAAUAGGAACAGCUCCAGUCUGAAGCUCCCAGUGAGACCAACAUAGAAGUUCUCUUGCCUGCCACCAUGUAAGAUAUGCUUUUACUCUUCCGCCUUCCACCGUGACUGUGAGGCCUCCCCAGCCAUGUGAAACUGCCUUUGAGCUUAUACUGAAUUAUACCACCAGCUUUCCUAGGUCUUGAAGCUUACAGACAGCAGAUCUUGGGACUUCUCAGGCACCAUAAUCAAUCAUAUAAAGAAAAAUCAAAGUAAGAGACCUAUUCGAGAUUUACAGAGGAAGACAAUCUUUUCUUCUCACCUUGAGAUAAAUGAUCCAAUGAUUCGGAACUUGAAAAGUGGUAGCUUUAUGAAUUCUCCUUAAGAAGAAACCUGUGCCCUGAUCUUGCCUACUCACCCAAAGGCACUGUGAGAUAGCAUCAAAGGAACAGCUAGUAAGAGACACAGAGCCAGAAAUCAGGGAAGUAAAAUACACUUGACAUCUACGUUCGGAAAGAAAUUUUAGGAGGCAGAAGCAAAUGGAUCAGAAGCUGCUUAUAUUUUUGCAAGAUUACCAAAGAAACCAUUGGUGGAGAAAGUUCUGUGACCAACUUGUCUGAGUCUAGUAAGAUUGAACGCUCACACACAAGUUUCAUGAAGUGGGUUUGAUACUUACAGAUAAGCAGCAAGGACCAACAGAAGCUGAUGAUCUAUGGUGAACUUUUUCCCAAGGCUCCGGAAAGCUGCCUAAAGUAGAUGGAGUCUUCUCUGUGUGUGCCCCACUGGUCCUGCAGUUGAAGGAUCCGGUAAAGCAGCCUGCCCUUGGUUUUAUACUCCAGAGGAACGUGAUUCGCUGGACUAAAGCAUUGAAGUGCAUCCUGUUUCCGGGGGGCACUGGAACAGAGCCUGGUCUGUUCUAGCCAGUCCCUUUCUAUCUCAGGAUAACAUUCUACAGUUAUUCUUGAGAACUAUAAUCAAAUAAGCAGGGAGAACUGGGAAAGCAGAGGCUCAUUGUGGAACCCUCAAGGAGCAUGGGGUCGUCUUCAUCCCUCAGUUUAUAAAUGGCCAAGGAGAGUAAUGCAACAAAAACUUCUCAGAGUUAAAAGCCAGAGUUCCUAAAGAACCGUGGACAAAGGGUUCUGUCUAGUGGGCAGAAUUCAUCCAGCGAAGGUGCUUACUGCACUCCCAGCAUGUGCUUGGGAACUUUAUUAAAAUUCCUUCCUAUUGAGAUUUAAAUUGCUGUCCAGAAUUAUACAAUAUAAUGAAUGGGGGCAUUCAUUAUGUGUAUUCUAUGCCUUCUCCAUCAUUGCAUAUUCAGUCCUCGUGCUAGAGAGAGGCAGAUAAUCUACCUUUUAAAUUGAUAGGUCUCCUAACUACAGAGGGUCACAUCUGGAUCUGAUGGCACCUACAGAACUUGGACUCUGAGCGACAAUCAGUGACCAGGAAAUUUGGAACCCAGGUUUUCCCAACCUACAUCUACAAAAUGGAAUGGGUCUGAUUCGCAAGUUUUCAGAGAAAGAAGCCAACCUUAAUCAGACUGUGAUAUGAUGAGGAAAUAAAACUUGCUGUGCUAA